UACGUAGGGUGCGAGCGUUAAUCGGAAUUACUGGGCGUAAAGCGUGCGCAGGCGGUUGUGUAAGACAGGUGUGAAAUCCCCGGGCUUAACCUGGGAACUGCGCUUGUGACUGCACGGCUAGAGUACGGCAGAGGGGGAUGGAAUUCCGCGUGUAGCAGUGAAAUGCGUAGAUAUGCGGAGGAACACCGAUGGCGAAGGCAAUCCCCUGGGCCUGCACUGACGCUCAUGCACGAAAGCGUGGGGAGCAAACAGG
rnacentral:rRNA from 1 species